rnacentral:rRNA from 1 species
AUUGAACUCUGGCUGCAGGCCUAACACAUGCAAGUCGAACGAGUGGCGGACGGGUGAGUAAUGUCUGGGAAACUGCCUGAUGGAGGGGGAUAACUACUGGAAACGGUAGCUAAUACCGCAUACCAUCAGAUGUGCCCAGAUGGGAUUAGCUUGUGGGGGGGGUAACGGCUCACCAAGGCGACGAUCCCUAGCUGGUCUGAGAGGAGUACCAGCCACACUGGAAGUGAGACACGGUCCAGACUCCUACGGGAGGCAGCAGUGGGGAAUAGUGCACAAUGGGCGCAAGCCGGAUGCAGCCAUGCCGCGUGUAUGAAGAAGGCCUUCGGGUUGUAAAGUACUUUCAGCGAGGAGGCGUUACCCGCAGAAGAAGCACCGGAUAACUCCGUGCCAGACGCCGCGGUAAUAC